rnacentral:rRNA from 1 species
UACGUAGGGUGCAAGCGUUGUCCGGAAUUAUUGGGCGUAAAGAGCUCGUAGGCGGUCUGUUGCGUCGGCUGUGAAAACCCGGGGCUCAACCCCGGGCCUGCAGUCGAUACGGGCAGGCUAGAGUUCGGUAGGGGAGACUGGAAUUCCUGGUGUAGCGGUGAAAUGCGUAGAUAUCGUGAGGAAGACCAGUGGCGAAGGCGGCCAUCUGGGACAACACUGACGCUGAGGCACGAAAGCGUGGGGAGCAAACAGG